UUUUAGGCCAAAAGUCCUUUUCACUUUUGUUUGUAUAAGUUAAGAGGUGCCAAUUACGUUAUCUAAUAAUAUGUCACUAUCCCAUUUUCAAUUAUUAUUACGUACUAGAACUUGUUUGUAGGUCCCUUAAUUCAAUUAUUUUCAAAUCAUGUUUUGUAAUAUGUUAUCUGGACAUAUCAAACGUUUCAGCGUUAGGUUCAUUUUUUUAGUUUAUCUGAUGACGUAGCUCAUCUAUCAAUGUCUGCGCCCAAUGUCCAAUUUUGGACCAUUUUUAGCUCAUGGAUUAGUUCUAAUGUGUAAUUUUUGAUGCAGACUGUGAUGAGUAACUUGAGAGG
rnacentral:misc_RNA from 1 species